rnacentral:lncRNA from 1 species
AUCCAUCUUGGGGAGAGUGGUGGCGGGUCCUUUCCUUGUUCUCUUGCUCCCUGCCGCCUACCUGAGACCGCAGGAAAUCUGGGUCUUUCUGAAGGCAUCUUCUUGUGGUGUAGUCCCCUUGGAACCGCGGCCUUUAGAAUGAACAUGACAUCACCUUGGUCAACAACGACAGAGGGUGUGUUUCUGUAGGAGACAAGACACGGGGGGAUCCAAGGUUGGUCAGCGGGUCAUGGCAAGCAGGAGACACAAUGCUAAUGACUCCGGCUCCACGUGGCGACCAUUCAGGAAAAAGCUGCAAUGUUCUCUCUGCCACAUUAAUCAGAGAAACACAUCAAGAGCUGUUGCGUGGAGACAGCUUUCCUCCCAGUACUCGCCCUGCAUACUAAUCACCACCCCCUCCUGGCGAGAUGUGGUUUCACUCUGUUGCCCAGGCUAGAGUGCACUAGUGCAAUCAUAGCUCACUGCACCCUCAAAUUCCUGGGCUCAAGCAAUCCUCCUGCCUCAGCCUCACGAGUAGCUGGGACUACAGGCACCACUGUAGACCCCUGCUCUGCACCCCCAGGAGGGAGUGGGACUGCUUCAAGGGCAGCCUGGAGGAAAGAGGUGUGAUGUGAACACAUACAACAUGUUCCUUAACCAGGAAGGCGACUGGAGUCUUUACCUGAUUUCAAAGCAGCCAAGCCUAGAGGCCCCCACCCCUUGUUCUUUAUUAUAAUUGCCCUUUGAUCCCAACCCCCCAAUGCUUUCCUCUCCAGAUCCCCAGCCAUGCAUACCCCAACUUGGUUCUGCAAAGAAUACCCAGCCACAGCUGUGAACUUGGGGAAACACAUUCAUUUUCUUUUUCUUUUCUUUUUUUUUUUUUUUUUUUUUUUUUUUUUGAGAGGGAGUCUCACUCUGUUGCCCAGGCUGAGGUACAGUGGCGUGAUCUUGACUCACUGCAACCUCCACCUCCCAGGUUCAAGCAAUUCUUCUGCCUAAGCCUCCCGAGUAGCUAGGACUACAGGCAUGCACCACCACCCCCAGCUAAUUUUUGUAUUUUUAGUAGAGAUGGGGUUUCACCAUGCUGGCCAGGCUGGUCUCGAACUCCUGACCUCAGGUGAUCCACCCGCCUUGGCCUCCCAAAGUGUUGGAAUUACAGGCGUGAGCCACCGUGUGCACGGCCAGCACAUUCAUUUUCUAUACACAACUGUCUCCCAGCUCUUCAGGCCAACUUACCUGAUAAAGAUAAAAAUAAUGAAGCUGCCAUGGAUUGGGCAGUGUGCCAAGUGCUCUGUGUAUAUUACCUUACUUAGUUUUCACAAACUCUAUGAGGUAGGUACCACUAUUAUUUACAGGUGAGGAAAUGGAGGCUCAGAGAGGUUAAGUGAAUUGAUCCAGGCCACAUAGCUGGUAAGCACCAGAGCCACUAGUGGACGCCAAGUCCAGCCAGCCCCCAGACCCCAUGUGCUGAGCCACUGUGCUAUACUGACUCCCACUUAAUUCCCUCUUCUGGGUUGUCCGAAAGACCAAGUUCAGCUGGCCAACUUUCCAGGGCCAUCUCUCAUGGCACCUGGAGGCUUGUAGGUUCCCGGAGGACUCUCACACCUCCUUCCUACCCUUCUCCAGAUUCUCCAACUCCCUCUUUAGCAGACCCAGCCCCACGCUGGGGCACCCUGCCUUCCUAGGACCUGUCGUAACAGUCACCCACUCUGGCUGCCAGGGCCUGGCCGACCCAGCCUGGGGACCGUGGGACCCCUCUGGGCAGUGCCCCCCUACUUGGGCCCAGGUGGGUAUGGAUUUCUUUCUUCUGGGCCAUUGCACCCGCCAGAAGGCGGGGUGGGAGAGGCAGGCCCACAUUUCAGAGGGCCUUGCUGCCCCCAUGUGGCACGAGGCUGUAGCGGCUGCAGCCUCCUCUUUCCUCCCUCCUGCCACUGCUCCCGAAGCCAAGGCUCUUGCAGGGUUGAAAAGGAAGAGAAAGAGGAGAAGCAGGAAUGUGAGAGAAAUAAGGAAGAGGGAUGGGCUAGGGAAGAGAGAAGCCCUUCUGCGUUACCUGGAAAUGCAGCAAAAACAAUAACAAAGACAAUGGUAAGAAUAAGUUUAAAGGCAGCUGCCACAUAGCACUUUUUAUAGCUUGUAGACUCUCUCAUUUAAUCCUGGCACUUACAUCAAUCUGAUUAGUAGCUAUUAUUAGUUUUAUAGGUGAUGAUCCAAGGCUCAAUUAUUUGUUCCCCAGCUAGUAGGUGACAGAGCCCAGAUUGAAUCUGACCCCAGAACCCUAACCACGAUAUUCUCCUGUCUAGAAGGAGCCAGUUGUCUCCUGCAACCCCCCACUGCUCAGCCUCUAGGAGUUCCAGCCACCAGCCACCUGCACCCUCCCUUCCAUGUGGCUUUGCCCUCUGUUCUUCUCCUCCCCACUCUCUCUCCAAGGUCCAAGUGGUCAAGGUCAUCCCAAGGGUAUGCUGGGACCGUGUGUCCUUAUUCUGUGCCUUGCUGGUCGCCAACCUUCCCCAUCUGCCAAGGACCGAUGUCCAGCCCAGGCCCAGGUGCAGGUGCCCAGGUCAUUUUUGCCACUGAGUAAAGGGAGACAGAAUGACAGGGUAAAUUACCACCACCAGAACACCGUGGAGCCAAUAGCAUCAAUGCAAGUGAAGUAUAUUUAUCUGUUGGCCUGAAAACACGUCCUAGUAUAUUGUCCCAUUAAGCAAAAAGCAGGUUAUAAAGCUGUGUACAGUAAGAAAUAUUUUAUAAGUGAAACAAAAGUAUUCUCUGUUUCUAUGCAGAGAAAAAGGAUAUUUGCCAAGAUGUUGACAGAUUAUUUUUGCUGUCUUCUCUUGGUUUAUUUUUGUUUUCUCUUUUUCAAUGAACACCAAUUAGUCACAUGAUUUUAAAAAGCAAUAAAAAUAAACCAAUCCCAGACGGAUUGUACUUCUUCCUGUCCUCAUUUCUACCCCAAUGAGUCUCC